CUUGUACUCCCUCCGUCUGAAAAUACUUGUCAUUGAAAUGGAUGUAUCUAGAUGUAUUUUAGUUCUAGACACAUCCAUUUNUUAGUUCUAGACACAUCCAUUUUGAUGACAAGUAAUUCCGGACGGAGGGAGUACUUG
rnacentral:pre_miRNA from 1 species